rnacentral:rRNA from 1 species
UACGAACCGUACAAACGUUAUUCGGAAUCACUGGGCUUAAAGGGUGCGUAGGCGGCCAUGUAAGUGAGGAGUGAAAUCCCACGGCUCACCCGUGGAACUGCUGGGCAUACUGGCGAUCUUGGGCCAACUAGGGGCAGCCGGAACAAGCGGUGGAGCGGUGAAAUGCGUAGAUAUCGCUUGGAACGCCGAAGGUGAAAACAGGCUGCUGGGGUUGCGCAGACGCCGAGACACGAAAGCCAGGGGAGCAAACGGG